rnacentral:lncRNA from 1 species
GUCACUCGGUGUUCUCACCGAAAGCACGUAAUCGCCGGUGUAACUCAUGUUGGCUGUUGGGUGGGUGGGGGCUCCCCGCGAGCAGAAGGGCCGGGGUGCGCCCCC